rnacentral:lncRNA from 1 species
GGAAAGCCCAGCCCACCAUGGGUGGCACCAUACCCUGAGCCCAUAUUUCUGGGCUAUAUAAGAAGGCUACCUAAUUUCUCCAUGGUUUCUGCUGUGCUUCCUUGAUUUAAGUUCCUUGGUCAGAGCUAAACUGUGUCUCUGCCUUCAGGUUCUGCCUUGAGUGCUUACCUUGUCUUCCCUCGCUGACAGGCAAUGACCUGGAAAUGUAGGAUGAAAUCAACUGUUUCUUCCUUUGAAAAAAGAAAUGAUAGACAAACGCAAUGGCCAUGCACUCAUACAGAGCACACACUCACCUUGAAAGCUGCUGACUAGCUAGAAAGACUGGAGUGAGAGCAUGCUCUGCGAGUCACAGCCCCCAACUGUGAGCACUAAAGAAUUCCUGAAUGACCAGGCAAGUCUACAGACUCCAUGUAAGAUUUAAAAAAAAAAACUCCUAAAAACUAUUCUAUUC